rnacentral:sRNA from 1 species
UUUUUGUUUUUGCUUUUUUUUUUUUAAUUUAGUUAUUGUUAAAACCUUCUAAAUUCAGUAAAAGGUUUAGAUUUUAUUAUUGAUGUUAAAUAAUUACAUUUGGUAUUUAUUUUGGGUUGUGAUAACUUGAAUCGGUUUUAAUUCGGUUAAGUUUAUUUAAUUUUGGUUUGGUAUUGGGUUUGGCACAGUAAUCCAAAGAUAAACCAUAAAAUUUGAAUUUAUGGAGAACAAGAAUUCGAACUUUUGGUUUAGGGAGAAAUUGGACUUUAAUUUCCAUUAUGUGGAGACUGAGAUAGAGAUUCGAAUUCUAUGUAGUUAUGGUGCUAUAUGAAACUUUCUAAGGGGACACAGGUCGUUCACCCUUAAGCAAAUUUUAGUUACUUCCUGAUAAGCAAACUAGAACGAAAGAAAACUAAAUAGAAUCUCAUAGUUGCCACCAUUCAUUUCUGUUUCUCAAAACCUUAAACCCUAAAAACGUGUCU